rnacentral:rRNA from 1 species
CACUGCCUACGGGACGCAGCAGUGGGGAAUAUUGCACAAUGGGCGCAAGCCUGAUGCAGCGACGCCGCGUGCGGGAUGGAGGCCUUCGGGUUGUAAACCGCUUUUGUUCAAGGGCAAGGCACGGUCUUUGGCCGUGUUGAGUGGAUUGUUCGAAUAAGCACCGGCUAACUACGUGCCAGCAGCCGCGGUAAUACGUAGGGUGCAAGCGUUAUCCGGAUUUAUUGGGCGUAAAGGGCUCGUAGGCGGUUCGUCGCGUCCGGUGUGAAAGUCCAUUGUUUAACGGGG